GCAGAUAGGUCGGGGAGCUAAGGGUUCCCUGCUCGCAAAUCCCUUUUGGCGAACCAAUGCCGGUCGAGUGCUGGACGCGCAUAAGCGGUCCUGUGUUUCGGCGUAGACGCCCUGCCUUAGGUGAUAGCCGGGUGUGUGAACCAGGCCAGGCCGGAAGGAGCAACCUUAAGCAUAUCUUCGCUAUGCUCUUAAGAUACAGGGCCGAGCUGUGAUGCAGAUAAACCAUUAUGCAACUCCACUGCGAGGCCGGCUUCUGC
rnacentral:SRP_RNA from 1 species